rnacentral:rRNA from 1 species
GAUGAACGCUGGCGGCGUGCCUAAUACAUGCAAGUCGAGCGAACGGACGAGAAGCUUGCUUCUCUGAUGUUAGCGGCGGACGGGUGAGUAACACGUGGAUAACCUGCCUAUAAGACUGGGAUAACUUCGGGAAACCGGAGCUAAUACCGGAUAAUAUUUUGAACCGCAUGGUUCAAAAGUGAAAGACGGUCUUGCUGUCACUUAUAGAUGGAUCCGCGCUGCAUUAGCUAGUUGGUAAGGUAACGGCUUACCAAGGCAACGAUGCAUAGCCGACCUGAGAGGGUGAUCGGCCACACUGGAACUGAGACACGGUCCAGACUCCUACGGGAGGCAGCAGUAGGGAAUCUUCCGCAAUGGGCGAAAGCCUGACGGAGCAACGCCGCGUGAGUGAUGAAGGUCUUCGGAUCGUAAAACUCUGUUAUUAGGGAAGAACAUAUGUGUAAGUAACUGUGCACAUCUUGACGGUACCUAAUCAGAAAGCCACGGCUAACUACGUGCCAGCAGCCGCGGUAAUACGUAGGUGGCAAGCGUUAUCCGGAAUUAUUGGGCGUAAAGCGCGCGUAGGCGGUUUUUUAAGUCUGAUGUGAAAGCCCACGGCUCAACCGUGGAGGGUCAUUGGAAACUGGAAAACUUGAGUGCAGAAGAGGAAAGUGGAAUUCCAUGUGUAGCGGUGAAAUGCGCAGAGAUAUGGAGGAACACCAGUGGCGAAGGCGACUUUCUGGUCUGUAACUGACGCUGAUGUGCGAAAGCGUGGGGAUCAAACAGGAUUAGAUACCCUGGUAGUCCACGCCGUAAACGAUGAGUGCUAAGUGUUAGGGGGUUUCCGCCCCUUAGUGCUGCAGCUAACGCAUUAAGCACUCCGCCUGGGGAGUACGACCGCAAGGUUGAAACUCAAAGGAAUUGACGGGGACCCGCACAAGCGGUGGAGCAUGUGGUUUAAUUCGAAGCAACGCGAAGAACCUUACCAAAUCUUGACAUCCUUUGACAACUCUAGAGAUAGAGCCUUCCCCUUCGGGGGACAAAGUGACAGGUGGUGCAUGGUUGUCGUCAGCUCGUGUCGUGAGAUGUUGGGUUAAGUCCCGCAACGAGCGCAACCCUUAAGCUUAGUUGCCAUCAUUAAGUUGGGCACUCUAAGUUGACUGCCGGUGACAAACCGGAGGAAGGUGGGGAUGACGUCAAAUCAUCAUGCCCCUUAUGAUUUGGGCUACACACGUGCUACAAUGGACAAUACAAAGGGCAGCGAAACCGCGAGGUCAAGCAAAUCCCAUAAAGUUGUUCUCAGUUCGGAUUGUAGUCUGCAACUCGACUACAUGAAGCUGGAAUCGCUAGUAAUCGUAGAUCAGCAUGCUACGGUGAAUACGUUCCCGGGUCU